rnacentral:misc_RNA from 1 species
GCAUAUGAACAUACACAAGUAUAAUUAGCUGCAAAGGUUUUAUUAAGAAAUACUGGUUCUAAAGACCCAUCUUUCAAGAAUAUGACAUUACUGGAAGCCUAGUAUAAACUCAAGUGUUUUUUGAACCAUUUCAGAAUAGCAAACACAUGUUGCUGUACGUAUAACAUAGGAGAAGUGUGAAUAAAACCAUCACUUUCUGCAUACCCUGUAUCUCUUACAGACUGGAUAUAACAUUAUAGCACAUACAUUGAAAUAACUCAACUAUAAUGCAAGUUAGACUCCAUGAGAACAGUAAUAUUCCAAGAUUCCUAAUAAAAUUAUCCAACUAAUUUUGUACAAACUUAAAUGCGAGGUCCAAAUAACAGUACAGAAUUUCAGAACUGCUGAGAUUCUGUGACUUCCGUGUGCACUAGAAAUCUUUGUCCCAGAGUUAGCAUUAAGAUGUCUGAAUCUAUUCAUAUAUUUGCAAUAGAAUCUACUUUGAGUUGGAAAGGAUAUUUGAUUAGUUAGUCCAUGUCCAAAGUGAUAUUACAGUUGAUUAUAG